UGAUGGUGGCCAUCGACGGCGUGACGACGGGCGGCGAGCGGCGCUGCGUCACGGUGGAGUUCAGCCAACGCCCCGGCUGGCGCGCCUUCACCCUGCGAGCGUCGUGCCUUACCCUGCCCCACGGCCGCUACAACCUCACCGUCCUCACCACGUCCCCGUCGGAUCCCUCGUCACCCUCCUCCUCCUCCUCCUCCUCGUCCUCCUCGUCGUCCUCCUCCUCCUCCUCUUCCCCCUCCUCCUACUCCUCCUCCUCCUCCUCCCCCUCCUCCCCCUCAUCCCCCUCCUCCUCGCGGCCGCAGCCCCUUGACCCUGAGGCGAGAGCCAGCCCCGGGGACAACGAGCUGGUCGAUCCGUCAAGUGAUCCGUCAAGGCGAGCGGAUGACUUGACAACCCGUGAUCGUCUUGCGGUCAUCGCGCGCCACAGCUUCGCCCUGCCGUACACGGCAGACCGCUACAGCGCCCUGGGCCGCUCCACACGGCACCGGAGCAAGCGAGUGGGCAAGAGGACGCAGCUGAGCACCGAAGACUUGUUCCUGGGCCCCCCCGCCACCUCCGGACCCGCCGCCUGCCCCUGCUACCACUGCCUGGAGCCCAACCACACCUACCACACCGAAACGGCCUUCCUGCAGUUCUCCUUCACCGUCAACACCUCGGAAGCCUGCUGUGCCAACUGCUCCAGGAUGAACUUAGUGCUCUACCAGUACGUCAAUAUGGACAGCGCUCUCAUGUGUUACUCCCUGAAUUUCACCCCACAAGUCGUGAGUGGAUUGAGACUGGUCAACACUGACAAGAACAUCACGCAGGGCCCCGUGGACUACCCCAACAUCGGCACGGGCUGCUACGCCUUCCGUCUCCGUCCGUCUGUCAACCCGAGCCCCAUCUACCACGGGUUCCUGUGGCUCAAGGCGAAGGUUAACGUCACCAACAUGGACGACUGGAAUACCACGUUCUUCCUACAGCCUGAUCACGAGCGUGGCAGCCUGGAGGUUCGCUGGACAGCCCCCUCCUACCCCUUCAACUUCUCCAGCUACGGCCUCCAACUCUGGCAUAACGAGAAUACCAGCAUCACGUGUCGAGGGGAGACCAUUUACAAGGGCCCGAUUGUCGUCAUGCCUAAGAAUGAGAAGAUCUACCUUACGUCGACCAACUACACCUUCUACAACCUCAGCAAAGGCUGGUACUGCGUUCGCGUGACCCCCAUCGACGACCGCUGCCCGCCCGACGGGUGCCAACCGCGCUCCAGCCUCGCAAAGCAACUCCUAGACGUGGUGAACGGCAGGCCGGAGAGGGCGCCCGAGAGUAUAACCCCGGGCGUGUUGGGCGCGGGGGCGGCAAUCCUCCUCGCGGGCGUUCUACUGGCGUGUCUCGUUAUCCGGUGUCGCUCCUCCAGGGGCGUCUUCGGCGUCUCCUACACGAAAGUCCACGUGGGCAAGAAACUGAACGAGGGCGGGGUCGUGCUGCUGGUGUGGACGAAGACGGGCCCCUACGGCGACCACCUCGCCCCCGUCGUCCUGGCUUUUAAGAAGACCUUGGUGUCCUAUUGCAAGUUUAAGGUGUACGACUACUUAGACUUGAUGUCCCUCCCAUCAGAGCAUCGCCAGCACCUCCUGGCCUCGCCCGCUGCUUGGCUGGACACAAUCCUUGCUCAGCACAAUAUCAAGAUAAUCAUCGUGGGCAGCGAGGGGGCGCGGCAGAGGCAGCUGGAGGGCAUCUGCGGUGGCGGCGGAGGCAGGCACACCACCUCCUGCGAGCGGGAUGACCCUCUUGACGUGAUCCUCUUCCCAUACCUUCUGCGUCGCCUGCAGGAUAGACCGGAUUUAGCUGGGGACUACUCGCGAGUCUUCCACGUCAGGUUUUCCGACAUCUGCAGCGAAAAGGGCGAACUGGAGGGCGUCGUGUCGUGGACCAGAUUCCGUCUUCCAGAGCACUUGCGGAGCCUCACGCUCUCUUUACACGGCAUCUCGGAAGAGGCCGGCUGCGACCUGGAGGAGCCGCCCGCAGACCUCGUCGCCGAAAUGGACUCCGCCAUGGCCGGCCACCCGAUGCACUGCGCCUCCAGGAACCAUCAUCCAAACAGCCGCCUCGCCAAGGACGCCCACACCACCGCGGUGCCAGUGCCGCCCCUGCCCACGCCGCCCAGCUCCGAGGCCAGCUGCGACGGCCACUCGUCGGACGCCGGCCCGGACCCGCCGGACGCGCCCCUGGACGGCCGCGCGGACCGGCUGGGGAAGUUAUAGGCGCGCGCAGGGAGGCGAGAUCCUCCGGCGCGCGUUCGCUGUGUCGCUGUUUCCACAUUCCAUGGUGCGCGUGUAAAUGAGGAUAAGCUGACUGAUACUGAACCUCCACUCGAUAUUUCGCAUACAGGUACAGUCAAAAUAAAAAAAAAGAUAUCACAAUGAACUCAAAGAGCUACAAAGAGAAAUGAAGUCAGGCGACGUGAAAGUUGCAAUGCCAAAGGUAAUUUUCCCCCAAACGAUAAACAUAAACGUGCUGAAAUAUCAUUCAUGCUAACCGCAUUUAUGAAAUGCUUGGUUACGACAAGAGAGGAAAUCAUUGUAUAUAAGGUAUUGAUGUAUGAUAUAUAUUUUUUCACUGUCAUCAACAUAAAAUUCAUUUGUCAUUAUGGAUAUAAAUCAUAAAUUUCUUUCUGAAUUGUUUAUUCUUUUGAAAGGUCCCUGCAUCUUUUUGCCAGCAUGAACAAAACCCAAAGAAAUGAAGAUGGCAUUUCUUUGUGUGCGUAUUAAAUUCUUCAUCUCUUUGGGGGCUGUUCAUGCUGGUACAAGGAUGAACACAAAUUACAUACACACAUGCAUGUACAUAUACAUAUGUAUGUAUGUAUG